UCUCUUUCAAAGCAUAGCAGCAGCCACAAGUUUCCUAGGGUUCUUGGAUAAACCCAAGCCCUUGCAAGAUAAGUAUUUGAAAAGAAAGGAAGGUACUUCAAGGUAACUACAAGGUGGUACAGCAAGGUACAUGAGCUAGUAGAUCUCCCCAGUAGGAGAACAGGACAUCCAGCGGCUAUUGGUGAGCUCCAGGUUGAUUCGGGGCUUUCCGAGUCUAUAGCAUGUAUUUUGGUAUUGUAUAGUAGCUGAGUGUAAGGCGGGGCCUGUCCCGA